rnacentral:rRNA from 1 species
UUUCGCAAUGCCCGAAAGGGUGACGAAGCGACGCCGCGUGGGUGAGGAAGGCCUUCGGGUUGUAAAGCCCUGUCAGGAGUUAAGAAAUGUAAGUGCGCUAAUACCGCAUUUAUCUGACGAAGGCUCCAAAGGAAGUCACGGCUAACUCUGUGCCAGCAGCCGCGGUAAUACAGAGGUGGCAAGCGUUGUUCGGAAUUAUUGGGCGUAAAGAGCACGUAGGUGGGUUUGUAAGUCAGAUGUGAAAGCCUCCUGUUCAACGGGAGAAUUGCAUCUGAAACUACAGAUCUCGAGUGUAGGAGGGGAGAAUGGAACUUCUGGUGGAGCGGUGAAAUGCGUAGAUAUCAGAAGGAACGCCGGCGGCGAAAGCGAUUCUCUGGCCUAUUACUGACACUCAGUGUGCGAAAGCUAGGGUAGCAAACGGGAUUAGAUACCCCGGUAGUCCUAGCCGUAAACGAUGGGCACUAAGUAGAGGGGUUUUA